AUGCACGCUGGCGGCGUGCCUCAUACAUGCCAGUCGAGCGAACGGACGAGAAGCUUGCUUCUCUGAUGUUAGCGGCGGACGGGUGAGUAACACGUGGAUAACCUACCUAUAAGACUGGGAUAACUUCGGGAAACCGGAGCUAAUACCGGAUAAUAUUUUGAACCGCAUGGUUCAAAAGUGAAAGACGGUCUUGCUGUCACUUAUAGAUGGAUCCGCGCUGCACUAGCUAGUUGGUAAGGUAACGGCUUACCAAGGCAACGAUGCAUAGCCGACCUGAGAGGGUGAUCGGCCACACUGGAACUGAGACACGGUCCAGACUCCUACGGGAGGCAGCAGUAGGGAAUCUUCCGCAAUGGGCGAAAGCCUGACGGAGCAACGCCGCGUGAGUGAUGAAGGUCUUCGGAUCGUAAAACUCUGUUAUUAGGGAAGAACAUAUGUGUAAGUAACUGUGCACAUCUUGACGGUACCUAAUCAGAAAGCCACGGCUAACUACGUG
rnacentral:rRNA from 1 species